rfam:Pteropus alecto contig46891, whole genome shotgun sequence.
UAAAAUAGCUAUCAUGUCUACGGCCAUACCUGAUCCUGUCUGAUCUCGGAAGCUAAGCAGGAUUGGGCCUGAUUAGUACUUGGAUGGGAGACCACCUAGGAAGAUCAGGUGCUGUAGGCA